rnacentral:rRNA from 1 species
UACAGAGGGUGCGAGCGUUGUCCGGAAUCACUGGGCGUAAAGGGCGCGUAGGUGGCGACCCAAGUCGAUGGUGAAAGCUCGCCGCUCAACGGCGAGUCGGCCACUGAUACUGGGUUGCUCGAGCACUGUAGAGGCAGAUGGAAUUCCGGGUGUAGCGGUGGAAUGCGUAGAGAUCCGGAAGAACACCGGUGGCGAAGGCGGUCUGCUGGGCAGUAGCUGACACUGAGGCGCGACAGCGUGGGGAGCAAACAGG